rnacentral:rRNA from 1 species
CCUACGGGAGGCAGCAGUGAGGAAUAUUGGUCAAUGGGCGCGAGCCUGAACCAGCCAAGUCGCGUGAGGGAAGACGGUCCUAUGGAUUGUAAACCUCUUUUGUCGGGGAGCAAAAGACGCCACGCGUGGCGUUCCGAGAGUACCAGAAGAAAAAGCAUCGGCUAACUCCGUGCCAGCAGCAGCGGUAAUACGGAGGAUGCGAGCGUUAUCCGGAUGUAUUGGGUUUAAAGGGUGCGCAGGCGGAAGAUCAAGUCAGCGGUAAAAUUGAGAGGCUCAACCUCUUCGAGCCGUUGAAACUGGUUUUCUUGAGUGAGCGAGAAGUAUGCGGAAUGCGUGGUGUAGCGGUGAAAUGCAUAGAUAUCACGCAGAACUCCGAUUGCGAAGGCAGCAUACCGGCGCUCAACUGACGCUCAUGCACGAAAGUGUGGGUAUCGAACAGGAUUAGAUACCCCGGUAGUC